CCCUUAGACGUUCUGGGCCGCACGCGCGCUACACUGACCAGUGCAACAAGCAUCCGUCCUUGGCCGACAGGCCCGGGCAAUCUUUGAACGCUGGUCGUGAUGGGGAUAGACUUUUGCAAUUUUUGGUCUUCAACGAGGAAUUCCUAGUAAACGCAAGUCAUCAACUUGCAUUGAUUACGUCCCUGCCCUUUGUACACACCGUCCGUCGCACCUACCGAUUGAAUGGUCCGGUGAAGCCUCCGGAUUGGCGCGCACCUCGGUGCCGCCGAGAAGUUGGCUAAACCUUACCAUUUAGAGGAAGGUGAAGUCGUAACA
rnacentral:rRNA from 1 species